UACGGGGAGCAGCAGGCGCGAAAACUUCGCACUGUGCGAAAGCACGACGAGGGAAUCCCAAGUGCUGGCUCGUAAGAGUCAGCUGUUUCUCUGUCUAAAAAACAGGGAGAGUAAGAGCUGGGUAAGACGGGUGCCAGCAGCGCGGUAA
rnacentral:rRNA from 1 species